rnacentral:rRNA from 1 species
GUGACUGCGUACCUUUUGUAUAAUGGGUCAGCGACUUAUAUUCUGUAGCAAGGUUAACCGAAUAGGGGAGCCGAAGGGAAACCGAGUCUUAACUGGGCGUUAAGUUGCAGGGUAUAGACCCGAAACCCGGUGAUCUAGCCAUGGGCAGGUUGAAGGUUGGGUAACACUAACUGGAGGACCGAACCGACUAAUGUUGAAAAAUUAGCGGAUGACUUGUGGCUGGGGGUGAAAGGCCAAUCAAACCGGGAGAUAGCUGGUUCUCCCCGAAAGCUAUUUAGGUAGCGCCUCGUGAAUUCAUCUCCGGGGGUAGAGCACUGUUUCGGCAAGGGGGUCAUCCCGACUUACCAACCCGAUGCAAACUGCGAAUACCGGAGAAUGUUAUCACGGGAGACACACGGCGGGUGCUAACGUCCGUCGUGAAGAGGGAAACAACCCAGACCGCCAGCUAAGGUCCCAAAGUCAUGGUUAAGUGGGAAACGAUGUGGGAAGGCCCAGACAGCCAGGAUGUUGGCUUAGAAGCAGCCAUCAUUUAAAGAAAGCGUAAUAGCUCACUGGUCGAGUCGGCCUGCGCGGAAGAUGUAACGGGGCUAAACCAUGCACCGAAGCUGCGGCAGCGACACUAUGUGUUGUUGGGUAGGGGAGCGUUCUGUAAGCCUGUGAAGGUGUACUGUGAGGUAUGCUGGAGGUAUCAGAAGUGCGAAUGCUGACAUAAGUAACGAUAAAGCGGGUGAAAAGCCCGCUCGCCGGAAGACCAAGGGUUCCUGUCCAACGUUAAUCGGGGCAGGGUGAGUCGACCCCUAAGGCGAGGCCGAAAGGCGUAGUCGAUGGGAAACAGGUUAAUAUUCCUGUACUUGGUGUUACUGCGAAGGGGGGACGGAGAAGGCUAUGUUGGCCGGGCGACGGUUGUCCCGGUUUAAGCGUGUAGGCUGGUUUUCCAGGCAAAUCCGGAAAAUCAAGGCUGAGGCGUGAUGACGAGGCACUACGGUGCUGAAGCAACAAAUGCCCUGCUUCCAGGAAAAGCCUCUAAGCAUCAGGUAACAUCAAAUCGUACCCCAAACCGACACAGGUGGUCAGGUAGAGAAUACCAAGGCGCUUGAGAGAACUCGGGUGAAGGAACUAGGCAAAAUGGUGCCGUAACUUCGGGAGAAGGCACGCUGAUAUGUAGGUGAAGCGACUUGCUCGUGGAGCUGAAAUCAGUCGAAGAUACCAGCUGGCUGCAACUGUUUAUUAAAAACACAGCACUGUGCAAACACGAAAGUGGACGUAUACGGUGUGACGCCUGCCCGGUGCCGGAAGGUUAAUUGAUGGGGUUAGCGCAAGCGAAGCUCUUGAUCGAAGCCCCGGUAAACGGCGGCCGUAACUAUAACGGUCCUAAGGUAGCGAAAUUCCUUGUCGG